GUGCUUCGGCAGCACAUAUACUAAAAUUGGAACAUAAAGAGAUUAGCAUGGCCCCUGUGCAAGGAUGACCUGCAAAUGCGUGAAGCGUUCUGUAUUUUU
rnacentral:snRNA from 1 species